ACCCGUACGAUCAGCGAAGUUAAGCAAUGUCGAGCUUGGUUAGUGCCUAGACGGGUGACCUCUUAGGAAUACCAGGUGCUGUCUG